rnacentral:rRNA from 1 species
GAUGAACGCUGGCGGCGUGCCUAAUACAUGCAAGUCGAGCGAACAGACGAGGAGCUUGCUCCUUCGACGUUAGCGGCGGACGGGUGAGUAACACGUAGAUAACCUACCUAUAAGACUGGGAUAACUUCGGGAAACCGGAGCUAAUACCGGAUAAUAUUUCGAACCGCAUGGUUCGAUAGUGAAAGAUGGCUUUGCUGUCACUUAUAGAUGGACCUGCGCCGAAUUAGCUAGUUGGUAAGGUAACGGCUUACCAGGGCAACGAUACGUAGCCGACCUGAGAGGGUAUUCGCCACACUGGAACUGGGGACCGGUCCCGACUCCCUAGGGGGGGCAGAGGGGGGAAAUUUGGAGAAAGGGGCGAAAGCUUGACGGAGCAACGCGGGUUGGGGGAGGAGGGCUUUCGGUUGGAAAAACUUUGUUUUGGGGAAAAAAAAAAGGUGUAUGAAACGGUGCAGGUCUGACGGUAACCAAAUAAGAAGGCCCGGCUAACUUCGGG